AUUCUAUAGACAAAGUUUGGAGACAUUGUUGAUUGCAUUGAUAUUCACAAGCAACCAGCAUUUGACCAUCCUUUAUUAAAGAAUCAUAAGUUGCAGAGAAAACCUAGCUUUCAAAAUUCAAUUAAAGACAUAAACGUAGAGAAAUUACCAUCUACGCCCAUAUUUGGGCUUGAGAAUGACCCAUGUCCAACAGGAUCUGUUCCUAUUUUGAGAACAAAAGAUGAACUCAUUCAAAAUAAUUCACUAUUAAAUAAUCAUAUCAUGACUCAGGACAUUCGCUGGACUCAUAAAGCUGAAUUAUCUACUUUAUCAAGUUUGGGACCUUAUUAUGGAGUCGGCGGAAGAAAUAACAUUUAUAAGCCAAAAGUUAAUAAGGAUCAAAUAAGUGCUUCUCAUUUGUGGGUUCGAAAUGGAGGAAAUAUGAUCAGAGUAGGAUGGCAUGUUGCUCCACAAUUAUAUGGUAAUGAUGAGAUAUAUUUUUACUCCUUAUGGACG